ensembl:snoRNA SNORA71 Small nucleolar RNA SNORA71
ACCUGCAUUCGAAAGUGAUUCUGGUCUUGUCUGUGACCUGGUCAUUGAUAGUGCAGGGAGAAGAAUUUCGAAAGCUUUUCCCGUGUUUGGUGGGCUCAUUCCCAUCCCUACCAGACCCUGUUACUUUCGUACA